UCCAGCAGGUUCGCAGUACUGCCUACCGCCGACCCUCGGGAAGCCCGCGGGUCGCCCAGCUUGGAGCCUAGGACCUAGGACUGAAGGUGAAAGUCCCAAAAGCUUUCCUUCGGAUCCAGCAGGGUAGGCGCGGCGCCCAGGAGCUCGAGAACGCGGCGGCGCAGCGGGCACUGCGUGUCUGCUCCCCGGCACCCUCGGCUCUGUUCCGCUCCUCCGCCCCUGCCCAGCGCUCCUCGGAGCACCCUGGUUGCACCCACACAGAUGGCCCUGGAGAGUUCUCCAGGUCCCACUGGGGCGAGAACGUGACUCCUCGGGCACCUUGCCUGCAGCGCUGAGGCCCAGUGCCCUUGGGGAUUCGGUGGAAGGGUAGUCCUGGGGCGUGGAAGGCUCAGCAACGCGAGCAGCUGGCUCCCUCUGAACCCCAGGCUUCUGCUAGCCGCCCCGCCUCUCCACUGCACUCCCAGCAGAAUUUAAUUUACUUCCAACUUA